rnacentral:rRNA from 1 species
UAGAGUUUGAUCCUGGCUACGAGGACGAACGCUGGCGGCGUGCUUAACACAUGCAAGUCGAACGCUGAAGCCCAGCUUGCUGGGUGGAUGAGUGGCGAACGGGUGAGUAACACGUGGGUAAUCUGCCCCGUACUCCGGGAUAAGCCCGGGAAACUGGGUCUAAUACCGGAUAGGACACGCUAUCGCAUGGUGGUGUGUGGAAAGCUCCGGCGGUACGGGAUGAGCCCGCGGCCUAUCAGCUUGUUGGUGGGGUGAUGGCCUACCAAGGCGACGACGGGUAGCCGGCCUGAGAGGGUGACCGGCCACACUGGGACUGAGACACGGCCCAGACUCCUACGGGAGGCAGCAGUGGGGAAUAUUGCACAAUGGGCGCAAGCCUGGUGCAGCGACGCCGCGUGGGGGAUGACGGCCUUCGGGUUGUAAACCCCUUUCGCCCGGGACGAAGCGUAAGUGACGGUACCGGGAGAAGAAGCACCGGCCAACUACGUG